UACGUAGGCAGCGAGCGUUGUUCGGAGUUACUGGGCGUAAAGCGUGCGUAGGCGGCCAACUAAGUCAGACGUGAAAUCCCUCGGCUUAACCGGGGAACUGCAUCUGAUACUGGAUGGCUUGAGUUCGGGAGAGGGAUGCGGAAUUCCAGGUGUAGCGGUGAAAUGCGUAGAUAUCUGGAGGAACACCGGUGGCGAAGGCGGCAUCCUGGACCGAGAUUGACGCUGAGGCGCGAAAGCCAGGGGAGCAAACGGGG
rnacentral:rRNA from 1 species